rnacentral:rRNA from 1 species
GAGUGGCGAACUGGUGAGUAACACGUGGGAAACCUGCCCAGAAGCGGGGGAUAACACCUGGAAACAGAUGCUAAUACCGCAUAACAACUUGGACCGCAUGGUCCGAGUUUGAAAGAUGGCUUCGGCUAUCACUUUUGGAUGGUCCCGCGGCGUAUUAGCUAGAUGGUGGGGUAACGGCUCACCAUGGCAAUGAUACGUAGCCGACCUGAGAGGGUAAUCGGCCACAUUGGGACUGAGACACGGCCCAAACUCCUACGGGAGGCAGCAGUAGGGAAUCUUCCACAAUGGACGAAAGUCUGAUGGAGCAACGCCGCGUGAGUGAAGAAGGGUUUCGGCUCGUAAAACUCUGUUGUUAAAGAAGAACAUAUCUGAGAGUAACUGUUCAGGUAUUGACGGUAUUUAACCAGAAAGCCACGGCUAACUACGUGCCAGCAGCCGCGGUAAUACGUAGGUGGCAAGCGUUGUCCGGAUUUAUUGGGCGUAAAGCGAGCGCAGGCGGUUUUUUAAGUCUGAUGUGAAAGCCUUCGGCUCAACCGAAGAAGUGCAUCGGAAACUGGGAAACUUGAGUGCAGAAGAGGACAGUGGAACUCCAUGUGUAGCGGUGAAAUGCGUAGAUAUAUGGAAGAACACCAGUGGCGAAGGCGGCUGUCUGGUCUGUAACUGACGCUGAGGCUCGAAAGUAUGGGUAGCAAACAGGAUUAGAUACCCUGGUAGUCCAUACCGUAAACGAUGAAUGCUAAGUGUUGGAGGGUUUCCGCCCUUCAGUGCUGCAGCUAACGCAUUAAGCAUUCCGCCUGGGGAGUACGGCCGCAAGGCUGAAACUCAAAGGAAUUGACGGGGGCCCGCACAAGCGGUGGAGCAUGUGGUUUAAUUCGAAGCUACGCGAAGAACCUUACCAGGUCUUGACAUACUAUGCAAAUCUAAGAGAUUAGACGUUCCCUUCGGGGACAUGGAUACAGGUGGUGCAUGGUUGUCGUCAGCUCGUGUCGUGAGAUGUUGGGUUAAGUCCCGCAACGAGCGCAACCCUUAUUAUCAGUUGCCAGCAUUAAGUUGGGCACUCUGGUGAGACUGCCGGUGACAAACCGGAGGAAGGUGGGGAUGACGUCAAAUCAUCAUGCCCCUUAUGACCUGGGCUACACACGUGCUACAAUGGAUGGUACAACGAGUUGCGAACUCGCGAGAGUAAGCUAAUCUCUUAAAGCCAUUCUCAGUUCGGAUUGUAGGCUGCAACUCGCCUACAUGAAGUCGGAAUCGCUAGUAAUCGCGGAUCAGCAUGCCGCGGUGAAUACGUUCCCGGGCCUUGUACACACCGCCCGUCACACCAUGAGAGUUUGUAACACCCAAAGUCGGUG